rnacentral:lncRNA from 1 species
CGGCGGCACAUUCCGGGCAGGCGCAGUGCGCGCGGGCUCAGGCUCAGCGCCUCCGAGCCCAUGGAGGCGGCGGGCCGCUCCCCGCGCCGGGCCCCGCGGCGGGGCCGCAGCCGGGGCCGAGGAGAUCGACAUGUCCCUGGAUGACAUCAUCAAGCGCCACAGGAAAGAGCAAACAGAUUCCAGCACCUCGGGCGACAGCAGGAGCCAGCAGGUCAAGAACAGGAGUUCAGCCUUCGGGUACGGGCGGCCCCGUUACGGUGCCUGGAAGCAGAGGAAUUUGCAAGGACCUAACCGUUUCAGAAGAGGGUUUGGACAGCAACAAUACAAUAGGAGACAAUUCAGGAAUACUUUGCCUGGUCGCAAGAGAAGAGCAGCUGCUGCCUUCAAUGGAGUGAGCCCUUUAAAUCGCCAGGCAUCAGCUCAGGAGGGCAACAAGAACAGCAAUGCUUUUGCCAAAAGCAGCAGCAGGCAGCAGAAGGACCAGGCACAGCCAUCUCCAGGCCCCAAGAGAUUCAGAGCAGAUGCUGCCAGCACCCAGACCCCAGGGAAAAGGCCUUUCCGGCUAAACAGGGGACCAGCGUUCCAGCAGAAGCGGGCGCAGCAGUGGUUCUCCAAAGCCCGCUUCCAGAGAGGGCAGAUGGAUGCUCAAGGAGAAGGGAAACCGCCAAGGAUGAGAAGGUGGCAAGUGAAACCCAGCCCGGGAGCAAUUCUGACGGUUUCUGUGGUUAAUCCCCAGGCGGGCCAGAGCAGCGGGCCUGGAUCCAAGCGCCCGUUCCUGCGAAGCCAGAGACCCCCAGCACGGGUGACCAAGCCCCAGCCCAAGGGGGUGAUGCUGAGAUUCAACUUCCGUGCCAUGGCCAACCAGACCAGCCUGACGCUGGAUGAGAGGUUCUCUGGUCUGAGGAAUAAGAGGCGCUUUACAGCAGCCAGGAGCGCCGGACGGACGGUCACCAUGCCCUAGGACAGCGUGCUCGCCACAGGGACUGCCCCCAACAGUCCAGGCCCUGGCAGGGGCUCAAUAAAAGUUGCUAGAUUCCCUUUGAGAUAGCUGAU